rnacentral:rRNA from 1 species
UGAGGAAUAUUGGUCAAUGGGCUUACGCCUGAACCAGCCAAGUCGCGUGAGGGAAGACUGCCCUAUGGGUUGUAAACCUCUUUUGUCAGGGAGCAACGCCGGCUACGUGUAGCCGGACUGAGAGUACCUGAAGAAAAAGCAUCGGCUAACUCCGUG